GCCUGGCUGGCUCUGUAGGUAGAGUAUGUGACUGUUGAUCUUGAGGUCAUGAGUUCAAGCCCUAUGUUUGGUA
rnacentral:tRNA from 1 species